rnacentral:tRNA from 1 species
AUUUAGAUAGCUUAAAACUAAGAGCGUAGCACUGAAGAUGCUAAAGUGAUAAAUUUAUCUUUAAAUA